rnacentral:lncRNA from 1 species
AUUCCCUGGACGCCAGGCAGCUGGGCGGUUUCCAGGAGCACCAAGGCUGCCACUUCUUCCUGGCUGGAUAGCUCUCCAGGGCUUACGAGAGAAAUCCCGGCUCCUCAGUCUGUGAGGCUCACCACAACACGAUCUACCCAGAGCUGGAUGCCGAGAAAAGUGGGAAGGACAUGGCAAGCACCAAAAAAUCAGAAGUGCUGGGUGCCUCGGCUCCAAGGGAAAGCAGGCCAUGUGAGUUGAAGACUACUUUUCAGUGGUACUCCAAAGGCAAACCUUUGAGAAGCCCGCUCAAGCUGAUUUCCAAGUCUCCUGUCUCAUCUUGAGCAGAUCUACCCGUGGUUAGAGGUAUUCUGAAGGAGAGAGAGAUGGGGCGAUAAGAGCACAAAAUGGGGGAGAAUCACGGGGGGUGGAGGAGGUCUUCUCGGAUGAAGCAAAGAAUGAGCUGAUUUCUAAGGGCUGAGCAGACACUAACAAGCUAAGGGACAGUGGGAAGAACCUUCCGGCAGAGGGGACAGCAAGAGCACAGGGCUCGAGGGGAGGGAGCACCACACACAGGAGCUGCAGGAAGCCAAUGUGGCUGGCCUGGGGUGGAGAGAGAAGAUGCUGGGGGAGGACCAGAGAGGCAGGAGGGGCCAGCCCAGGCCUGUCCCCUCCGCCAGUCGGGACCACCAAAGGGGGCGGCAGGUCCUGUUCACUUCUAGCCGUG